ACUGCACUUUUGUUUUGAGGGGGGAACUCAGCCAAAGUUUCCAUUAACCUCCUCUCAGUCCUGACGUCACAGCAUGGAGGUAAAGGUAGAAACUCCUCCAUCAGACAGACUGAGCAGAGAGGUGGCUCCACCGUGUGGCGCUGCGUGGUACUGCAGUUAUAUCCUCCUGACUUUGAGCCUUCACACUGAGAGAAUGCUGGAAGCCAAUUUUUGUAUAUUUGUUCUUGUUUUUGAAGGCUGGCUUUUUGCAGUGCAGGAGGAAGAACCGGAGCUGAAGCCCUCCAUCACUCCCAGACAUCACUGAAGCUCUCAGCUGAUGUUUGAUCCUCCUGGUUAAUGUGACGGCUGUGAUGCGCCUCAUCGUCCACUAGAUGGAGCUCUUCAGCUUCAGAUGAAGGUCUGAUCUGCAGAAGUCUUUCCUCUGAGUGAAAACAGAAGAGUUCCCUGUGCUGACAUCUUUCAUCUAAUGUGUUAAAGUAAUGUGGAAGCUCUCAUGAGGAGGACGGUGUUGGCUUCUGUUUCAGAUGGAGAGAGUCAGUGGUGUGAAGGCUGCAUGCUGCUCAGGAGGACUUUAUCUGUGACAUGAUGUUUGUGUUGUUAGUGUGCAGCCUGAAAAUGUUCCUUCCUUUCACUAUUUUUUUAAUGAACGACAGAGUGACCCCUCCAUCUGAUUUAAGAAAUGCCUCCCUUUCAUCACAUCUGAACUUUUAUAUCAUUUUAAAAAACAUUUUUAAAUCAGCAACAUGUUUCAGAAUCUGUUUAGAAAUCUGGACACAGCUCUGAUUGGUUGGUGCCUCCUUUGAGGAAACAUGUGCUGAUGUAUGAAUCCUCUGUAUCACUGAUUUUAAUGGUAUUAUUGUUAUGAUGAACAGAUUUCAGCCCUGG